rnacentral:rRNA from 1 species
UACGGGGGGGGCAAGCGUUGUUCGGAAUUACUGGGCGUAAAGGGCUCGUAGGCGGCCAACUAAGUCGGAUGUGAAAUCCCCAAGCUUAACUUGGGAACUGCAUCCGAUACUGGAUGGCUUGAGUUCGGGAGAGGGAUGCGGAAUUCCAGGUGUAGCGGUGAAAUGCGUAGAUAUCUGGAGGAACACCGGUGGCGAAGGCGGCAUCCUGGACCGACACUGACGCUGAGGAGCGAAAGCCAGGGGAGCAAACGGG